GUUUUCCUACUCAAUUAAGGGUCCUUUACAACUUGGUGUAGUUGUUUUGGAAGAAGGAGCACUUAUUUCUUCAAGUUGACAACUUGUUCAAGUGAAGAAAUUUGUAGAAAAAGGUUUUGGACGAAACGGGAUUUGAGUUUUGGCAAGCGUAAAGGGCAAGAAAGGUACCGACGACAGGUUUGCUGAUCCGUCCGCUUAGGAUCUUAUUCUCCUAUUUUGGAGCGCUCUCUUAUCCAGAGCCCAUCUUUUGGUAUAGUCUGUCACUACUGUAUAUAUAUAUUCUCGUUCAUGGGUACGGCGGGGCCCUGUCCCGUCAUAUGAUUCUGUCGGUCUGUUUAGAGGUCUGUGGACAUGUUUGUGGGUUGGGGUCUUUCUGUACAGAUGCGUGUAUAUGUUGUGUUUGGGCGAUCUCAUUCGCCGCGGCGGCCGGUCCGCAUAUGUUUAAAUGUUGCUUCGUUGGCCCUGUGUGGUCUUUUGUUGGUAUUUUCUGUGCGCAGGGUUAUUUUGGAUAGCCUGUAAAACAAAGGAAACUCUGCCGAAAUUUUUCUGGAAAUUAUCUAACUUUGAAAUAUAGCCUUGUCGGCUUCCGCUAUAUACUUGAAUGCGUUUGAUAA